AUUGAACGCUGGCGGCAGGCCUAACACAUGCAAGUCGAACGGUAACAGGAAGCAGCUUGCUGCUUUGCUGACGAGUGGCGGACGGGUGAGUAAUGUCUGGGAAACUGCCUGAUGGAGGGGGAUAACUACUGGAAACGGUAGCUAAUACCGCAUAACGUCGCAAGACCAAAGAGGGGGACCUUCGGGCCUCUUGCCAUCGGAUGUGCCCAGAUGGGAUUAGCUAGUAGGUGGGGUAACGGCUCACCUAGGCGACGAUCCCUAGCUGGUCUGAGAGGAUGACCAGCGAGAUGGGAACGGAGAGACGCUCCAGACUCCUACGGGAGGCAGCAGGGGGGAAUACGGGGUAAUGGACGAAGGCCUUAUGUAGGAAGAUCGCGUGUGUGAAGAAGGCCGGAGGGUUGUAAAGCCCUUUUGUUGGGAAAGAAAAGCAGCAGGGGAAGACCCCGCGGUGGUGACGGUACCCGAAGAAGAAGCACCGGCUAACUUCGUG
rnacentral:rRNA from 1 species